rnacentral:rRNA from 1 species
UAAGACGAACCGUGCGAACGUUGUUCGGAAUCACUGGGCUUAAAGGGCGCGUAGGCGGCUUGGCAAGUCCGGGGUGAAAGCCCCCAGCUCAACUGGGGAAGUGCCUUGGAUACUGCCGAGCUCGAGCGAGAUAGGGGUCGUGGGAACUUCCGGUGGAGCGGUGAAAUGCGUUGAUAUCGGAAGGAACGCCGGUGGCGAAAGCGCACGACUGGAUCUCUUCUGACGCUGAGGCGCGAAAGCCAGGGGAGCAAACGGGAUUAGAUACCCCGGUAGUCCUGGCCCUAAACGAUGGGUACUAGGUAGUGGGCUUACAUGGGCUCACUGCCGAAGCAAAAGUGGUAAGUACCCCGCCUGGGGAGUAUGGUCGCAAGGCUG